rnacentral:rRNA from 1 species
UGGGGAAUAUUGGACAAUGGGCGAAAGCCUGAUCCAGCCAUGCCGCGUGUGUGAAGAAGGUCUUCGGAUUGUAAAGCACUUUAAGUGGGGAGGAAGGGCAGUAAGCGAAUACCUUGCUGUUUUGACGUUACCGACAGAAUAAGCACCGUCUAACUCUGUGCCAGCAGCCGCGGUAAUACAGAGGGUGCAAGCGUUAAUCGGAAUUACUGGGCGUAAAGCGCGCGUAGGUGGUUCGUUAAGUUGAAUGUGAAAGCCCCGGGCUCAACCUGGGAACUGCAUCCAAAACUGGCGAGCUAGAGUAGGGCAGAGGGUGGUGGAAUUUCCUGUGUAGCGGUGAAAUGCGUAGAUAUAGGAAAGAACACCAGUGGCGAAGGCGACCACCUGGGCUCAUACUGACACUGAGGUGCGAAAGCGUGGGGAGCAAACAGG